UAGGGAAUAUUGGUCAAUGGGCGCAAGCCUGAACCAGCCAUGCCGCGUGCAGGAUGAAGGCUCUAUGAGUUGUAAACUGCUUUUGUACAGGAACAAAAAAUCCCCUGCGGGGGAUCCUGAGUGUACUGUAAGAAUAAGCACCGGCUAAUUCCGUGCCAGCAGCCGCGGUAAUACGGAAGGUGCAAGCGUUAUCCGGUUUUAUUGGGUUUAAAGGGUGCGUAGGCGGCUUAUUAAGUCAGUUGUGAAAUCCUAGCGCUCAACGUUAGAAUGGCGAUUGAUACUGGUAGGCUUGAGUCAAGAAGAGGUAAGUAGAAUUUAUGGUGUAGUAGUGAAAUGCAUAGAUAUCAUAAGGAAUACCGAUAGCGUAGGCAGCUUACUGGUCUUGAACUGACGCUGAGGCACGAAAGCGUGGGGAGCAAACA
rnacentral:rRNA from 1 species